AGCGAACGCUGGCGGCAGGCUUAACACAUGCAAGUCGAACGGGCAUCUUCGGAUGUCAGCGGCAGACGGGUGAGUAACACGUGGGAACGUACCCCUCGGUUCGGAACAACUCUGGGAAACUGGAGCUAAUACCGGAUACGCCCUUAUGGGGAAAGGUUUACUGCCGAAGGAUCGGCCCGCGUCUGAUUAGCUAGUUGGUGGGGUAACGGCCUACCAAGGCGACGAUCAGUAGCUGGUCUGAGAGGAUGAUCAGCCACACUGGGACUGAGACACGGCCCAGACUCCUACGGGAGGCAGCAGUGGGGAAUAUUGGACACUGGGCGCAAGCCUGAUCCAGCCAUGCCGCGUGAGUGAUGAAGGCCUUAGGGUUGUAAAGCUCUUUUGUCCGGGACGAUAAUGACGGUACCGGAAGAAUAAGCCCCGGCUAACUUCGU
rnacentral:rRNA from 1 species